UACGAAGGGGGCUAGCGUUGUUCGGAAUUACUGGGCGUAAAGCGCACGUAGGCGGAUACUUAAGUCAGGGGUGAAAUCCCGGGGCUCAACCCCGGAACUGCCUUUGAUACUGGGUAUCUCGAGUCCGGAAGAGGUGAGUGGAAUUCCGAGUGUAGAGGUGAAAUUCGUAGAUAUCGGGAGGAACACCAGUGGCGAAGGCGGUUGCCUGGAGCUUUGCUGACGCUGAGGCGCGAAAGCGUGGGGAGCGAUCCGG
rnacentral:rRNA from 1 species